rnacentral:lncRNA from 1 species
GUCUUUUGUGGGCUACAUGGGCCAUGUCAACUCUUCAAAAUUGCUGUGUCCUUGCAAAGCAGGCUGACAUAUUGGCAGAUGGAAGCUCGAUUAUCAGGAGAGGGGUCAACUGAGAGAUCUCCUGUACUCCAAGGUCGACUGAAUUUCAUCAUGGCAGCCAAGAAGACCUUGAACUGCUGAGGCAGUUUACAGGCAGACCCUGUAUACUCCAUCCCACUUGAAAACUCAAAAUAUAUGGCUUUGUAUCACUUAA